CACUGGGGGGGAAACUUGAUGGGAUGAGCACUGGGUGUUAUUCUAUAUUGGCAAAUUGGACACCAACAAAAAAUAAAUUAAAAAAAAUCACUGUUGUGACAAAGAGGGGAACUGUUUAAGUGAAAUAUUCCUGUUCGGCAAUCUUCGAUAUAACAUCCUCAUUGAAUCUACUUCCGCAUCCGAAUGUAGAGUUUCUUCUGGAAUAAGAAAUGAAAAGUAAGCUGCUUUUAGAUAAAAUGAGUCUUUCUGGAAUAUUUAUUUUAUGGUAAAUCCUUGCUAGUGUUGAAGAGGCAAGGCAUGUGCGAAGGCUUCUAUAUUGGUCAAUUCGGAUCAAUACUGUUGGUAAUAAGAGUCAAUUGUUCGUGUGCCCUUUCUGUUUCCCGUGAGACUAUUUCAGCUGCUGUUACAGUAUUCCUCCAAAAUAUGGUUCAUUUUGUCAUCUCUUUGUGGAGUGUGAUGGUGCCCGUUAUCAUGUUUUACAGGCAGAAUCUGCAUUUCAAAUACUCUCAGCAGUUUCUGACUCUCUUUCAGAAGUGGGAUACCGACAUGAGGAGAGCCCAGGAACAGGAAGCAAAACUAGCUAGUUUGCAUGCCUUGGACAGGGACCAUGAACAUCUUCUUACUGAUGAACAAAGUGAAGUCAGGGAAGAAAUCGCCAAGUUGCAAAACAAAAUUAUGAGGGAAGCUGUAAGUAGUAUACAUGUAAUAUUAAGACCCAAGGAGGGAUGUGAGCAUUGGGGUAUUUGUUUUGCCAAAAUGUAUGACAGUUACCCAAAUAACAGGCGAAUGUCCCAUAUUUCCUUCCUUGAAUCAGCAGCAGCAAGAGCUGGCAAUGGUUCGGAAGUCUCUUCAUUCCCUGUUGUUCUGACGACUUUGAAGAACGAAAGAACGGGAAGCUACGUUUUAUUAAGUACGACAUUAGCUGCACUGAACCACACUGUAGUAGUUUAAAGAUUGUAGUUGAAAUUGGUACGUCUUGUUUAUCAUAGCUUGCUUGCUAAGUGCAAGAACCUAUUCCUGUUAAAACCCCAACCCUAAAAAGCUGUGUGAGGAGCGGCAGUUCCACAAUUAUAUACGUAUUACGCUUUCAACCCUUUGUUAGUAAUGAAGACUUUUUGUACUUAACACUGUCAAUUAGCUGUUAGCAGUAAGGAUGAUUUAAUUUUAGGCUUUCCCUCAGUCGAUCUGUAUUAGCCCCAAAAGGCUCAAACCACAAGAACAGAAAGAAGGCUCCAUUGCUUUGCCUAUAGGGAAAAAAAAUUAAAGAAUAUAAAAUCUGUCCUAUCCGUGCACCCGCUUCUAUUUACUCAUUAGUUUACUGAGCCAAUUCCAAUACCAAUAUGGUUUCAGAAGAAAACGUACUCUACUGCCUUANCCCCAAAAGGCUCAAACCACAAGUACAGAAAGAAGGCUCCAUUGCUUUGCCUAUAGGGAAAAAAAUUAAAGAAUAAAAAAUCUGUCCUAUCCGUGCA
rnacentral:lncRNA from 1 species